AGAGUUUGAUCAUGGCUCAGAACGAACGCUGGCGGCAGGCUUAACACAUGCAAGUCGAACGCUCGUAGCAAUACGGGAGUGGCAGACGGGUGAGUAACGCGUGGGAACAUACCCUCCGGUUCGGAAUAGCUCAGGGAAACUUGGAUUAAUACCGGAUACGGCUGAGAGGCGAAAGAUUUAUCGCCGGAGGAUUGGCCCGCGUUCGAUUAGCUUGUUGGUGAGGUAAUGGCUCACCAAGGCGAUGGUCGAUAGCUGGUCUGAGAGGAUGAUCAGCCACAUUGGGACUGAGACACGGCCCAAACUCCUACGGGAGGCAGCAGUGGGGAAUAUUGGACAAUGGGCGCAAGCCUGAUCCAGCCAUGCCGCGUGAGUGAUGACGGCCUUAGGGUUGUAAAGCUCUUUCGCUCGGGACGAUAAUGACGGUACCGAGAUAAGAAGCCCCGGCUAACUUCGUGCCAGCAGCCGCGGUAAUACGAAGGGGGCUAGCGUUGUUCGGAAUUACUGGGCGUAAAGCGCGUGUAGGCGGGUCUUUAAGUCAGGGGUGAAAUGCCAAGGCUCAACCUUGGAACUGCCUUUGAUACUGGAGAUCUUGAGUCCGGGAGAGGUGAGUGGAAUUGCGAGUGUAGAGGUGAAAUUCGUAGAUAUUCGCAAGAACACCAGUGGCGAAGGCGGCUCACUGGCCCGGAACUGACGCUGAGACGCGAAAGCGUGGGGAGCAAACAGGAUUAGAUACCCUAGUAGUCC
rnacentral:rRNA from 1 species